rnacentral:tRNA from 1 species
GGGGAGAUGGCUCAGUGGUAGAGUGCUUGCCUUGCAUGCAUGAGGCCCUGGGUUCAAUUCCUCAGCACCA